AACGAACGCUGGCGGCAUGCCUAACACAUGCAAGUCGAGCGCCUGUAGCAAUACAGGAGCGGCGCACGGGUGAGUAACGCGUGGGAACCUACCCUUAGGUUCGGAACAACCGCGGGAAACUGCGGCUGAUACCGGAUGAUGUCUUCGGACCAAAGAUUUAUCGCCUUUGGAGGGCCGCGUCGGAUUAGGUAGUUGGUGAGGUAACGGCUCACCAAGCCUACGAUCCGUAGCUGGCUGAGAGGAUGACCAGCCACACUGGGACUGAGACACGGCCCAGACUCCUACGGGAGGCAGCAGUGGGGAGUAUUUGGACAAUGGGGCGAACCCUCGAUCCAGCAAUGCCGCGUGGGUGAUGAAGGCCGUUCGGUU
rnacentral:rRNA from 1 species